AAUUGAUUGGAGAAGGGGGGGCAGCAAAACCCUUUGAUCCAUGAUCAAGCUUGAGAUCAUGUUCCCUUGCCAAAGAUUUCAUCAUUCUCUACCAUCUCUUCUUGUCAUGGCCAAAGCCCAAUUGGAGAGGCGUUCAUUACUACUAAAUGGGAUGUUGAACGAAAGCAGAGAGCGUUGUGCACCUCCCUUCUUUCCAUGUUAGCGGUACUAAAGUGAAACGCAAGCAUCAACGUGAAACAGACGGGAUGGCGGUUUGACCUCCAUUUUUUACUGAGGUUCACAUGCAAGCAAGUCUCUGAUUUUCUGCCAUCCGCAGGUAAUAGCAGUUCGCCGUUAAAACCCUUGUCAAUACCCGUCCAUGGUGCGAGUUCAUCAAUAGUAUAUUACAAAUUUCCGUACCGCAGUCAAGCGCACUUUUGCCCCUUGUUUUGCUCCUUUCAGGCUUCGAUAGCAUUCAUGGGUGAGAAGGCAAAAGGGACUUGGAGAUCUGUUUUUCCCCCACAGACGAAGGCACUUUGCUGUCCAGUUUUUGUUAGAUGCCUAGAUCCUCAUCCGUUGACAUCUAGAUAUAAACUCUGCGUCAUAACAGUAAUCCAAUAGCAACCUGAUAGAGUCCUCCAAAAGAAAGAUCCAAAUAAGAAAAAUCACAUGAAAGGGUACAAAAAGAAAAUAAUGAAGA
rnacentral:sRNA from 2 species